rnacentral:pre_miRNA from 1 species
AAGAGGAACAGCCCCAGUGGCGGGGCCAGCUCUGGAGCCCUGGAGUCAGCCCCCGCAGGAACUCCGGAGCUCUCCGUCUGCAGGGCCUGGAGGCUCCGGGGCGGG